GAUGAAGAACGUAGCGAAAUGCGAUAAGUAGUGUGAAUUGCAGAAUUCAGUGAAUCAUCGAAUCUUUGAACGCACAUUGCGCCCCUUGGUAUUCCAUGGGGCAUGCCUGUUCGAGCGUCAUUUGUACCCUCAAGCUUUGCUUGGUGUUGGGUGUUUGUCCUCUCCUUUGCGUUUGGACUCGCCUUAAAGCAAUUGGCAGCCAGUGUUUUGGUAUUGAAGCGCAGCACAAUUUGCGAUUCUAACCGACUACACUUGCGUCCAUAAGCCUUUUUUAACUUUUGACCUCGGAUCGGGUAGGGAUACCCGCUGAACUUAAGCAUAUCAAUAAGCGGAGGA
rnacentral:misc_RNA from 1 species